rnacentral:antisense_RNA from 1 species
UGAACACAAAAUGGCGACACGUGGUUAGCAUUCGUCGCCAACGAGAAAUUGGGGUCGGCCCGAAAGCUCUAGAAUGCACCCCUAUUCCUCCCCGGGGCCAUUCCCGCUCAACGAGUUUUAUGACCUAAAAAACCCCACAGGCUGGUCUGAAGAGGAAGACACUUAAAGAUGAAGUGCUUAAUUCAAGGUCACAGAAUGUCGGGGAUGGACCUCCAGAUUUCCUUACUGACCUGCAUUAUCUUGUGGAUACCUGAGUGAAUUCCACACCACCCAUUUUAUAGAUGAAGCCACUGAGACGUGGAGCAACUGACUGAGUAGUCACUGCCCCACCCCUGCCUGGAGCCUCACACAUGACUUCUCUUAGUGACCACAGGUGAGACGUGGUCUUGUAACACAGUGGUUAAGAAUGUGACUUUGGAGCCAGCCUGCUAGGGGCUGAAUUCUGACUCAGCCAUUUAUUAACUGUGUGACCUUAGAUGGAGUCUCACUCUGUAGCCCAAGCUGGAGUGGCGUGAUCUCGACUCACUGCAACCUCCGCCUC